rnacentral:rRNA from 1 species
UGAAACUAGAUACAAGCGAGCGGCGGACGGGUGAGUAACACGUGGGUAACCUGCCCAAGAGACUGGGAUAACACCUGGAAACAGAUGCUAAUACCGGAUAACAACACUAGACGCAUGUCUAGAGUUUGAAAGAUGGUUCUGCUAUCACUCUUGGAUGGACCUGCGGUGCAUUAGCUAGUUGGUAAGGUAACGGCUUACCAAGGCAAUGAUGCAUAGCCGAGUUGAGAGACUGAUCGGCCACAUUGGGACUGAGACACGGCCCAAACUCCUACGGGAGGCAGCAGUAGGGAAUCUUCCACAAUGGACGAAAGUCUGAUGGAGCAACGCCGCGUGAGUGAAGAAGGGUUUCGGCUCGUAAAGCUCUGUUGGUAGUGAAGAAAGAUAGAGGUAGUAACUGGCCUUUAUUUGACGGUAAUUACUUAGAAAGUCACGGCUAACUACGUGCCAGCAGCCGCGGUAAUACGUAGGUGGCAAGCGUUGUCCGGAUUUAUUGGGCGUAAAGCGAGUGCAGGCGGUUCAAUAAGUCUGAUGUGAAAGCCUUCGGCUCAACCGGAGAAUUGCAUCAGAAACUGUUGAACUUGAGUGCAGAAGAGGAGAGUGGAACUCCAUGUGUAGCGGUGGAAUGCGUAGAUAUAUGGAAGAACACCAGUGGCGAAGGCGGCUCUCUGGUCUGCAACUGACGCUGAGGCUCGAAAGCAUGGGUAGCGAACAGGAUUAGAUACCCUGGUAGUCCAUGCCGUAAACGAUGAGUGCUAAGUGUUUGGGAGGUUUUCCGCCUCUCAGUGCUGCAGCUAACGCAUUUAAGCACUCCCCCUGGGG